AGCCAGUGUGGCAUAGUGGUUUGACUGUUGGACUUCAACUCUAGAGACCAGGGUUCAACUCCCUGUUAGGCUA